ensembl:snRNA U6 U6 spliceosomal RNA
GUGCUGGCUUCGGCAGCACGUAUACUAAAAUUAGAACAAUACAGAGAAGAUUAGCAGGGCCCCUGCGCAAGAUGACACGCAAAUUUGUGAAGUGUCCCAUAUUUUU